GCGGGUUUAGCUCAGUUGGGAGAGCGUCAGACUGAAGUAACACUUCAAUUCCGCAUCCGAGGUUCUGCCUUGGCUUGCAAUCUGAAGGUCAUGUGUUCGAUCCACAUAAACCGCA